UCGAAGGUUCUGGAGAGGACUGCA
rnacentral:miRNA from 1 species